CAGCAGCCGCGGUAAUACAGAGGGUGCGAGCGUUAAUCGGAUUUACUGGGCGUAAAGCGUGCGUAGGCGGCUUUUUAAGUCGGAUGUGAAAUCCCUGAGCUUAACUUAGGAAUUGCAUUCGAUACUGGGAAGCUAGAGUAUGGGAGAUGAUGGUAGAAUUCCAGGUGUAGCGGUGAAAUGCGUAGAGAUCUGGAGGAAUACCGAUGGCGAAGGCAGCCAUCUGGCCUAAUACUGACGCUGAGGUACGAAAUCAUGGGGAGCAAACAGGAUUAGAUACCCCGGUAGUCCCUGUCUCUUAUAC
rnacentral:rRNA from 1 species